rnacentral:tRNA from 1 species
UCACUGGUUCAGCGGUAGAAUUCUCGCCUGCCACGUGGGCAGCCCGGGUUCGUUUCCCGGCCAAUGCA